GAGUUUGAUCCUGGCUCAGAUUGAACGCUGGCGGCAUGCCUUACACAUGCAAGUCGAACGGCAGCACGGGAGCUUGCUCCUGGUGGCGAGUGGCGAACGGGUGAGUAAUGCAUCGGAACGUAUCCUGGAGUGGGGGAUAACGUAGCGAAAGUUACGCUAAUACCGCAUAUUCUGUGAGCAGGAAAGCGGGGGACCUUCGGGCCUCGCGCUCUUGGAGCGGCCGAUGUCGGAUUAGCUAGUUGGUGAGGUAAAGGCUCACCAAGGCGACGAUCCGUAGCAGGUCUGAGAGGAUGAUCUGCCACACUGGAACUGAGACACGGUCCAGACUCCUACGGGAGGCAGCAGUGGGGAAUUUUGGACAAGUGGGGGCAACCCUGAUCCAGCCAUGCCGCGUGAGUGAAGAAGGCCUCGGUU
rnacentral:rRNA from 1 species